ACCCCACUAUUUGCUCUCAAGGUAAACUCUAAGCACUAUGGUUUUAAAAUUAAAACUUAAAUAGCAUGGCGGCGAGCUUAAAUUUCAGAGGAACCUACCAGGUAAAUGAUAACCCGCAAGAAAUUCUUACUUUACCUAAAAGUUUAUAUAUCGCCGUCUAGUAAUCUUUCAAGAAGGCUACAAAAAGUAUGGUGUACAAGAAGACAGGCCAUGACAUAGCGUAUGGUAAAGACUUGAGGUGGGUUACAAUAAGAAAUUCUUUCAGAAUUUUGCCUAAAGGCAAAUCCAAGAUGGAUUUGAAAGUAAUGGACUAAUAUAAGUAUGUAGUGAAUCUUUCUAAGGUCGUGUACACACCG
rnacentral:rRNA from 1 species